rnacentral:rRNA from 1 species
AAGGAUCAUUACUGAGUGCGGGCCCCCCGUCCCUGGGGAACGCGGCCCAACCUCCCACCCGUGAUUAUUGUACCUUCUGUUGCUUCGGCGCGGUCUCUCCCCUGGCCUGGGGAUAGCCCGCCGGAGACCUCCUCUGGAACGCUGUCAUCUGGAAAACUGUUUGCAGUCUGAGUGGGCAAGCGAAAGCAAAAUCCAUUAAAACUUUCAACAACGGAUCUCUUGGUUCCGGCAUCGAUGAAGAACGCAGCGAAAUGCGAUAAGUAAUGUGAAUUGCAGAAUUCCGUGAAUCAUCGAAUCUUUGAACGCACAUUGCGCCCCCUGGUAUUCCGGGGGGCAUGCCUGUCCGAGCGUCAUUACUGCCCCUCAAGCACGGCUUGUGUAUUGGGCCGCCGUCCCCCCGGGAAGCCGGGCGGGACGGGCCUGAAAGGCAGUGGCGGCACCGCGUCUGGUCCUCGAGCGUAUGGGGCUUUGUCACCCGCUCAGGAGGCCGGGCCCGGGGCCACGCCCCUUCGUCCACCUUUUUUCUUCUUAGGUUGACC